rnacentral:lncRNA from 7 species
UGAAACUGCAGAUCUAUCAACAAAAACAGCCCCGGCCCACAGCCCAGAGGAAGAGACAGGCGUGCUUUCCUCCAGUGCUUCAGUGUGACCUUCCUGUGCAUUGGAGGCCUCCCAGUAAGAAAGCCCC